rnacentral:lncRNA from 1 species
UGGUGUGACUGGUCCUUUGAUAUGCGGUGUGUUGCUAUUCAUACUGAGGCUGCUUAGUUUGACUGUACAUUUUCUUGGUCCCUAGCUAUUCGGGUCCUUACUGUGUAUGUUGGUUAUUGUAGGUUCAGGUUCGCUGUUUGGAGUAGGAUGCACCUAGAUAGAAUCUAUCAUUCUUGGUAGAAAAGAAGAAGUCCUAUGCGAUUUGUAAGACUGAGUUCAGAAAAUCUUUGGCUAGAGUAAGUGUGAAUACUGAAAAAGAGUUUCUACGGGAUUCACAGAUGAAUUCGAGUCGAGCCAAUCUAGCAUAUGACUGACGAAGGGAUUUGACGAGUUCUCCAUGACCUCCAUCAAGUUGGAACUCAUGAU